rnacentral:rRNA from 1 species
GACGAACGCUGGCGGCGUGCUUAACACAUGCCAGUCGAACGGAAAGGCCCUGCUUUUGUGGGGUGCUCGAGUGGCGAAAGGGUGAGUAACACGCGAGUAGCCUGCCCUUUACUUUGGGAUAACUUCAGGAAACUGGGGCUAAUACCGGGUAUGAACUCCUGCUGCAUGGUGGGGGUUGGAAAGUUUCGGCGGUUGGGGAUGGACUCGCGGAUUAUCAGCUUGUUGGUGGGGUAGUGGCUUACCAAGGCGUUGACGGGUAGCCGGCCUGAGAGGGUGACCGGCCACAUUGGGCUUGAGGUACGGGCAAGAGUCAUACGGGAGGCAGCAGUGAGAAUCAUUGCACAAUGGGCGGAGGCAUGAUGCAGCAACGCCGCGUGCUGGAUCACGGCCUUCGGAUUGUAAAGCGCUUUCGCCUGUGAAGAAGCGUAAGUGACGGUAAUGGGUAAGGAAGCAACGGCUAACUACGUG